GCUCAGUUACCUCAGAAAUUCUCAACACGAUAGUAUCUUUUUUAUAUAUAUAUAGAUAUAUAAAUAAGCUUUAAUUUUUUUCCUUUCCUAAAGCAUCAAAACAGAAAAAAACAGAAAUUGUAUUUUUUAAAUGAAGCUCAGAUUAAGCUGAUAUAAAAAUAGCUUUAAAACAGAAAAAAGUACAAUCACAAAACAAUUAUCUUAUUGAAUGAAAAAAAAAAUCUCAGAAAAGUAGAAAAUAGAAAUCCACAUUCAACAUGGCAUUAAUUCAUUAAGACCAAACAGGAUUUAUGUUGUAAGAUAAAGAUAUUUUGGUGUUUGAAUAUCUCACUCAUUAUUUUGAUUAAAGAAAGUAAAAAUCUUUCCACAGUCAAUAAGAUAGUUUAAAAUGCAUUCGUGAAUCUCCCACUUGAUGGGAAUGUGUUUUAAUUUUCAGCUUCCUCUGAUAUAAUUUGCUUCUUUCUAAACUAUGAUUUCCUUCCCCCCGGGAGCUGGUGCUGACCUGCUACUGGCAGCAGAAGCUGCUUCUACUUAGAACAUUCCCCAGUGUGAGGCAGAACUCUGCUCUAGCUUCAAAACACUUGGGAGUAAACCUCCUCUCAGGCCCACACUAAACAUGUAACUUGAAGUAAGGAGCUUAAUCUUUCUAAGCCUCAUUUCCUCGGCUGUAAGAGAGCCACGAUAGUAUCUUAAACAAGAAAGCUUAUUUCUCUCCCAUGUUCAAAUAGAGGUAGUCAGUCUGAGCAGAUCUGGCCCAAUGGUGCCAGAAACCUUGGUUCCGUCUUGUAAUUCUCCUGGGUGUGGUUUCCAUUCCCAGGGUCAUGGCCUGGUCUCAGAUGGCAGGUGCAGCCCCAGCCAUUCAUCCUUGUUCAGCCAGGAGACAUUUCCCCACUUCUUUUGGGGUAGCUUCAGAAAAGUUACGUGAAACACUUUGGCGUACAUCCUUUUAGGCAGUGUGGAACCAUGUGACCAUGUCUACCUGAAAGAGGCUGAGAAAUAAAGCCUUUAUUUGGGGGCCACAGCUGGUGCCCUCACUGCAGAGGGAGAAGGGUGGUCAAUGAGGGACAGUAAGCAGCAGUGUAGCCUUUAAGGUAGGUACACAUGCAGCCCCACCAUUUGCCUAAGAUUUGAGGGAACAGAAGAGACAUUUCAGAUGAGGGGCACUGGGAAGAGAACAGCAGCUUUUAAGGUGACAUUUUCCAUGAAGACUUAGGCAGAAGCUGCAAGGUUAGAUGGGUCUGAGCACCAGCCACUUUCACGCAGAUGGCAUGGAGAAAUGUCACUGUGGGGCAGCGUGGCCUUGCAGUGUGCCACUGAGGGAAGCAGUGGAGAGGCUGAACUCCAGGAGAGAUGGGGGAAGGUCCAUUGUCACCCAAGGCCCAUGAGGACUGGGAUGACUUUAUCUUUUCCCUGUUGAUUUUUAUUUCUGUUUUAUGUUAGUUCAUCACUACAUGCUCUUAGAACAGCUGCACUUAGCUCAUUUCCUGAAACUUUUGAUGACCUAGAAAUGGCUUUGUGGCCUCUUCCCUAUUGAUGCAGCACAUACCAAACCUCCAGGAUGGCCUUGCUCAGAACUGAGAGACCUGUGGGCUGCUGGAGCUGCUGUCAUGGCUCAGGACAUAGCCCUCCUUUAAGAAACUGAGAAAUGCUGCGUGUGGUGACUCAUGCCUGUAAUCCUAGUGGCUUGGGAGGUUGAGAUAGGAGGAUCACAGGUCCGAAGCAAGACCCGGUCUCAAAAUAUAAAAAGGGCUGGGAAUGUGGCUCAGUGGUUCAGUGUUAGAGUCUGUAAACAAGUCAAAAAUAACACCUGGCAUUUUGCCAGGGGAAUGUUAGAGUUCGUAAACAAGUCUGGAUGGUGCCUGGCAAAAUGCCAGAGGGAGUGGUUUGAGAAGUAACAAAAGCGAGCCAUUAAGUGUGGAGAUUCCUUAUUGGUUGACUGAUGUAUCUAGUUUAUGCUAAUUAGAUAAGCUGUGUGGAAUGUAUAAAUACUGCUCCUGUCCUACAAUAAACGGCUCCUACUCCUGCUGUAUCAACGUACACAAGUUAUUCGUCACCCCCCCUGGUUAUUUUGCUGCAGCCGGACGGACUGCGGCAGUUAAGCACCCCAGGUUCAACUCCUGGUACAAAAAGGAAAAAGAGGGGUUGGGGAUAUAGCGCAGUUGGUAGAGUGCUUGCCUCACACACACAAGGCCCUGGGCUUAAUCCCUGGCACCAUCAAAAGAAAACAAUGAAGCAACUUCAUGGCAAUUCACAAGUACUGUGACAAGUGAAGGGUCUCAUGUAGAGGGAGGUGUGGAGCCUUGGUGACAGGAAGGAUCUCUGGCAGCUGAAGAAGGCUUAGCUGGGCUGACCCUUUAGGUGGUGGAAAAGC
rnacentral:lncRNA from 1 species